rnacentral:rRNA from 1 species
CCUACGGGGGGCAGCAGUCGAGAAUCAUUCACAAUGGGGGAACCCCUGAUGGUGCGACGCCGCGUGGGGGAAUGAAGGUCUUCGGAUUGUAAACCCCUGUCAUGUGGGAGCAAAUUAAAAAGAUAGCACCACAAGAGGAAGAGACGGCUAACUCUGUGCCAGCAGCCGCGGUAAUACAGAGGUCUCAAGCGUUGUUCGGAAUCACGGGGCGUAAAGCGUGCGUAGGCUGUUUCGUAAGUCGUGUGUGAAGGGCGCGGGCUCAACCCGCGGACGGCACAUGAUACUGCGAGACUAGAGUAAUGGAGGGGGAACCGGAAUGCUCGGUGUAGCAGUGAAAUGCGUAGAUAUCGAGAGGAACACUCGUGGCGAAGGCGGGUUCCUGGACAUUAACUGACGCUGAGGCACGAAGGCCAGGGGAGCGAAAGGGAUUAGAUACCCGGGUAGUC